rnacentral:tRNA from 1 species
GUGGGAAUAGCUCAACUGGUAGAGCAUCGGACUGUGGCUCCGACGGUUGCGGGUUCGAUUCCCGUUUCCCACCCCA